rnacentral:rRNA from 1 species
ACCUAUGGGCAUGCCACACUGAACACACCUGAUUUUGUCUGAUCUCAGAAGCUAAGCAGAGUUGGGCCUGGCUAGUACUUGGAUAGAAGAUGGUUUCACCCUAAAUU